rnacentral:lncRNA from 1 species
GAAUGGUUUAGCACAAAGGCCGUGUGUUUAUAGAGAGAAAGUGACGUGGAGGUGGUGUCGCAAUAGCUUUAUAUUGUACUUCACAACAAGACGUUGAUUCCCAAACUCGGCAGAGUCCAGGCAGAAGGCAAACACAAGUGCUGUCAUCUACAGAUGAAGGAUGCAUCCCAUGUUCUGGAGACUGGAAGUCCAAGAUCAAAGUGUCUGCUGAUUUGGCUCCUGGUGAGAACUCUUUCCCUGGCUUGCAGAUGGCCGCCUUCUUGCUGUGUCCUCACAUGGCAGAGAAAGACCUCUUUGGUAUCGCUUCUGAAAAGGGUACUAACCUCAUCAUGGAAGCCCCACCCUCAGGAGCUUAUAUAACCCUAAUUAUAUCCCAAGGCCCCACCUCCAAAUACCAUCAUCACAUUGGGAGUUAGGGUUUCAACAUACGAAUUUGG